GAGUUGAUCAUGGCUCAGGACGAACGCUGGCGGCGUGCUUCAUACAUGCAAGUCGAACGAGAAACUGACUUCGGUCAGUGGAAAGUGGCGGACGGGUGAGUAAUGUGUAGAGAAUCUGCCCUAGAGAGAGGGACAACAGUUGGAAACGACUGCUAAUACCUCAUAUGCGCGUAGCUGAGAUGCUAUUCGUGAAAACUCCGGUGCUCUAGGAUGAGUCUGCAUCUGAUUAGCUAGUUGGCGGUGUAAUGGACCACCAAGGCGACGAUCAGUAGCUGGUUUGAGAGGAUGAUCAGCCACAAUGGGACUGAGACACGGCCCAUACUCCUACGGGAGGCAGCAGUAGGGAAUUUUGCGCAAUGGGGGAAACCCUGAACCGCAGCAACGCCGCGUGAACGAAUAAGCCCUUCGGGGUGUAAAGUUCUGUCAGUAGGGACGAAACUUGACGGUACCUACAGAGGAAGCAUCGGCUAACUCCGUGCCAGCAGCUGC
rnacentral:rRNA from 1 species